GAUGAACGCUGGCGGCGUGCCUACUACAUGCAAGUCGAGCGAAUGGAUUAAGAGCUUGCUCUUAUGAAGUUAGCGGCGGACGGGUGAGUAACACGUGGGUAACCUGCCCAUAAGACUGGGAUAACUCCGGGAAACCGGGGCUAAUACCGGAUAACAUUUUGAACCGCAUGGUUCGAAAUUGAAAGGCGGCUUCGGCUGUCACUUAUGGAUGGACCCGCGUCGCGUUAGCUAGUUGGUGAGGUAACGGCUCACCAAGGCAACGAUGCGUAGCCGACCUGAGAGGGUGAUCGACCACACUGGGACUGAGACACGGCCCAGACUCCUACGGGAGGCAGCAGUAGGGAAUCUUCCGCAAUGGACGAAAGUCUGACGGAGGAACGCCGCGUGAGUGAUGAAGUCUUUCGGGUCGUAAAACUCUGUUGUUAGGGAAGAACAAGUGCUAGUUGAAUAAGCUGGCACCUUGACGGUACCUAACCAGAAAGCCACGGCUAACUACGUGCCAGCCGCCGCCGUAA
rnacentral:rRNA from 1 species